rnacentral:rRNA from 1 species
GACGAACGCCGGCGGCGUGCUUAACACAUGCAAGUCGAACGGAAAGGCCCUGCUUUUGUGGGGUGCUCGAGUGGCGAGCGGGUGAGUAACACGUGAGUAACCUGCCCUUGACUUUGGGAUAACUUCAGGAAACUGGGGCUAAUACCGGAUAGGAGCUCCUGCUGCAUGGUGGGGGUUGGAAAGUUUCGGCGGUUGGGGAUGGACUCGCGGCUUAUCAGCUUGUUGGUGGGGUAGUGGCUUACCAAGGCUUUGACGGGUAGCCGGCCUGAGAGGGUGACCGGCCACAUUGGGACUGAGAUACGGCCCACACUCCUACGGGAGGCAGCAGUGGGGAAUAUUGCACAAUGGGCGGAAGCCUGAUGCACCAACGCCCCGUGCGGGAUGACGGCCUUCGGGUUGUAAACCGCUUUCGCCUGUGACGAAGCGUGAGUGACGGUAAUGGGUAAAGAAGCACCGGCUAACUACGUGCCACCAGCCGCGGUGAUACGUAGGGUGCGAGCGUUGUCCGGAUUUAUUGGGCGUAAAGGGCUCGUAGGUGGUUGAUCGCGUCGGAAGUGUAAUCUUGGGGCUUAACCCUGAGCGUGCUUUCGAUACGGGUAGACUUGAGGAAGGUAGGGGAGAAUGGAAUUCCUGGUGGAGCGGUGGAAUGCGCAGAUAUCAGGAGGGACACCAGUGGCGAAGGCGGUUCUCUGGGCCUUUCCUGACGCUGAGGAGCGAAAGCGUGGGGAGCGAACAGGCUUAGAUACCCUGGUAGUCCACGCUGUAAACGGUGGGUACUAGGUGUGGGGUCCAUUCCACGGGUUCCGUGCCGUAGCUAACGCUUUAAGUACCCCGCCUGGGGAGUACGGCCGCAAGGCUAAAACUCAAAGGAAUUGACGGGGCCCCGCACAAGCGGCGGAGCAUGCGGAUUAAUUCGAUGCAACGCGUAGAACCUUACCUGGGUUUGACAUGGAUCGGGAGUGCUCAGAGAUGGGUGUGCCUCUUUUGGGGUCGGUUCACAGGUGGUGCAUGCCUGUCGUCAGCUCGUGUCGUGAGAUGUUGGGUUAAGUCCCGCAACGAGCGCAACCCUUGUUCACUGUUGCCAGCACGUUAUGGUGGGGACUCAGUGGAGACCGCCGGGGUCAACUCGGAGGAAGGUGGGGAUGACGUCAAGUCCUCAUGCCCCUUAUGUCCAGGGCUUCACGCAUGCUACAAUGGCUGGUACAGAGAGUGGCGAGCCUGUGAGGGUGAGCGAAUCUCGGAAAGCCGGUCUCAGUUCGGAUUGGGGUCUGCAACUCGACCUCAUGAAGUCGGAGUCGCUAGUAAUCGCAGAUCAGCAACGCUGCGGUGAAUGCGUUCCCGGGGCA